AUUGAACGCUGGCGGCAGGCCUAACACAUGCAAGUCGAACGAGUGGCGGACGGGUGAGUAAUGUCUGGGAAACUGCCCGAUGGAGGGGGAUAACUACUGCAAACGGUAGCUAAUACCGCAUACCCUCGGAUGUGCCCAGAUGGGAUUAGCUAGUAGGUGGGGUAACGGCUCACAUAGGCGACGAUCCCUAGCUGGGCUGAGAGGAUGACCAGCACCACUGGAACUGAGACACGGUCCAGACUCCGACGGGAGGAAGCAGUGGGGAAUAUGGCACAAUGGGCGCAAGCCUUAUGCAGCCAUGCCGCGUGUAUGAAGAAGGCCUUCGGGUUGUAAAGUACUUUCAGCGAGGAGGCGUUACUCGCAGAAGAAGCACCGGCUAACUCCGUGCCAGCAGCCGCGGUAAUUC
rnacentral:rRNA from 1 species